GGUAGAGCACUUGACUUUUAAUCAAGGGGUCCCGGGUUCGAGCCCCGGGUGAGCCA
rnacentral:tRNA from 1 species